CGGAGAAGGCUAUGUUGGCCGGGCGACGGUUGUCCCGGUUUAAGCGUGUAGGUGUGUGUUCCAGGUAAAUCCGGUUCACUUUAACACUGAGGCGUGACGACGAGGCACUACGGUGCUGAAGCAACAAAUGCCCUGCUUCCAGGAAAAGCCUCUAAGCAUCAGGUAACAUCAAAUCGUACCCCAAACCGACACAGGUGGUCAGGUAGAGAAUACCAAGGCGCUUGAGAGAACUCGGGUGAAGGAACUAGGCAAAAUGGUGCCGUAACUUCGGGAGAAGGCACGCUGACACGUAGGUGAAGUGAUUUACUCAUGGAGCUGAAGUCAGUCGAAGAUACCAGCUGGCUGCAACUGUUUAUUAAAAACACAGCACUGUGCAAACACGAAAGUGGACGUAUACGGUGUGACGCCUGCCCGGUGCCGGAAGGUUAAUUGAUGGGGUCAGCGCAAGCGAAGCUCCUGAUCGAAGCCCCGGUAAACGGCGGCCGUAACUAUAACGGUCCUAAGGUAGCGAAAUUCCUUGUCGGGUAAGUUCCGACCUGCACGAAUGGCGUAAUGAUGGCCAGGCUGUCUCCACCCGAGACUCAGUGAAAUUGAACUCGCUGUGAAGAUGCAGUGUACCCGCGGCAAGACGGAAAGACCCCGUGAACCUUUACUAUAGCUUGACACUGAACAUUGAGCCUUGAUGUGUAGGAUAGGUGGGAGGCUUUGAAGUGUGGACGCCAGUCUGCAUGGAGCCGACCUUGAAAUACCACCCUUUAAUGUUUGAUGUUCUAACGUGGACCCGUUACCCGGGUUGCGGACAGUGUCUGGUGGGUAGUUUGACUGGGGCGGUCUCCUCCUAAAGAGUAACGGAGGAGCACGAAGGUUGGCUAAUCCUGGUCGGACAUCAGGAGGUUAGUGCAAUGGCAUAAGCCAGCUUGACUGCGAGCGUGACGGCGCGAGCAGGUGCGAAAGCAGGUCAUAGUGAUCCGGUGGUUCUGAAUGGAAGGGCCAUCGCUCAACGGAUAAAAGGUACUCCGGGGAUAACAGGCUGAUACCGCCCAAGAGUUCAUAUCGACGGCGGUGUUUGGCACCUCGAUGUCGGCUCAUCACAUCCUGGGGCUGAAGUAGGUCCCAAGGGUAUGGCUGUUCGCCAUUUAAAGUGGUACGCGAGCUGGGUUUAGAACGUCGUGAGACAGUUCGGUCCCUAUCUGCCGUGGGCGCUGGAGAACUGAGGGGGGCUGCUCCUAGUACGAGAGGACCGGAGUGGACGCAUCACUGGUGUUCGGGUUGUCAUGCCAAUGGCACUGCCCGGUA
rnacentral:rRNA from 1 species